UACACUCCUACGGGAGGCAGCAGUGGGGAAUAUUGGACAAUGGGCGCAAGCCUGAUCCAGCCAUGCCGCGUGAGUGAUGAAGGCCCUAGGGUUGUAAAGCUCUUUCACCGGAGAAGAUAAUGACGGUAUCCGGAGAAGAAGCCCCGGCUAACUUCGUGCCAGCAGCCGCGGUAAUACGAAGGGGGCUAGCGUUGUUCGGAAUUACUGGGCGUAAAGCGCACGUAGGCGGAUCGAUCAGUCAGGGGUGAAAUCCCAGGGCUCAACCCUGGAACUGCCUUUGAUACUGUCGAUCUGGAGUAUGGAAGAGGUGAGUGGAAUUCCGAGUGUAGAGGUGAAAUUCGUAGAUAUUCGGAGGAACACCAGUGGCGAAGGCGGCUCACUGGUCCAUUACUGACGCUGAGGUGCGAAAGCGUGGGGAGCAAACAGGAUUAGAUACCCCGGUAGUCCCAUGA
rnacentral:rRNA from 1 species